CGGUGUGGCCGGCAGGGGGCGCGCGCGCCAUUCCCGGGCUCGCCGGGCGGGGCGGGGGCGCUUCCGAAGCUGAGCCGAGGACGCCGUGUUCCGCCGGUCCGGAGCGCCGCUACUCCGCGACCUGAGCCUGGCUCAGCAGCUCUGCCAGGCGUGCUUCCGCGCAGGGUGGCCGGACGUUCUGGGGAAGUUGCCCCGGGCCCAGCACAACGCCUGCGGGGGAGGGGUGAUGACUCACUCUCUCCUGAAAGAAGACCACACUGCCCCGGAGACACAGGAGGCCUUCUGACCUGGCCCGGUUGCCCUUCCUGGAGAUGCCCCUCCUUCCCCAGAAGGCAGGCUCAGCUCAUGGAUGGUGCAGUCAGUAAGGGGAACUCAGUGCUGCCCAGGUCCCAGUCCACUGUGGACACCUGCAUGAUCUGACACUUCCCCAUGAGGACUUUUGAGAAGCCAGAUGACUUGUUUGAAUUAUCCAGUUCAGCUCCUGAGCCUCCUCUGCAAGAUCCUACCAAGCAAACUUGGGGUGUUUCCCCUGCUCCCCUAUUUCUGGUAUUAACACCUUCCCCAGAACACCAGACUAUUCCUGUUAUGACGAGUAAAGACCUCUUAGUAUUGUAACUUAAGGGGGUCACACCAUGGCAACAUUCUAUUUUUUUCCUUUUUGUGUACUAGCUAGAAUUACUCUAUUUAUUUACUUCAGGCAUUUACUUGUUGUAAUUAUCUGAUUUUGUGUCCCUGAAAUAGUUUUUGCAGAAAAAUCAGGAUAAAUUAUUGAUUCUGCCCCUUUUAUUUUUUAUAGUUUUUAGAAGGGGUUUAUUUUUUAUAAUCCAAAUGUGCCCAAGUAAGGUUUGUUUGUUGAGAAGUGCCUUUCCAAACCCCUCAAUUUUUAUUUUAUUUAUAUUUAUUUAUUUAUUUAUUUAUUCAUUUUGAGACAGAGUCUUGCUCUGUCUCCCAGGUUGGAGUGCAGUGGCACCUUGUAUUAGUCCGUUUUCAUGCUGCUGAUAAAGACAUACCCCAGAAUGGGAAGAAGAAGAGGUUUAGUGGACUUGCAGUUCCACAUGACUGGGGAGGCCUUACAAUCGUGGUGGAGGGCAAGGAAGAGCAAGUCAGGUCUUACACGGAUGGCGGCAGGAAAAGAGAGAGAACUUGUGUAGGGGAACUCCUCUUUAUAAAACCAUCAGAUCUCAUGUGAGACUUAUUCACUAUCAUGAGACCAGCACGAGAAAGACCUGCCCCUGUGAUUCACAGGGACCCACUGGGUCCCUCCCAUGACACAUGGAAUUGUGGGAGUUACAAUUCAAGAUGAGAUUUGGGGGGAAACACAGCCAAACCCUAUCAAGCCAUCUCGGCUCUCUGCAACCUCCACUUCCCAGGCUCAAGUGAUUCUCCUGCCUCAGCCUCCUGAGUAGCUGGGAUUACAGGCAUGCGCCACCACACCUGGAUAAUUUUUGUAUUUUUUAUAGACAUGGGGUUUCAUCAUGUCGGCCAGACUGGUCUUGAACUCCUGACCUCGUGCAAUCCACCUGCCUCAGCCUCCCGAAGUGUUGGGAUUGCAGGAGUGAGCCACUGUGCCUGGCCCUCAAUUUUUAACAUGUAUGUUUCCAUUCAUUGCUGAGCUGUUUAACCUUAUAUAAUGUUAAAGAAAACAGAUGGCAGCUAGGUAACAAGAGCCCUGUCAAUGGGCAUCCCCUUCUCCUAUGUUCCGUUUCUGGGAAUCAACUUAAAGAGACCAUUAAAAACCAGAUUUGCACAAAAUCAAACAAACAUAUUGGUUGAAGCAUUUAAAAGAAUGAAAGUUUGGAAAUAAUCUCAUUAUUCAAUAGUUAUUCAGUAGUUGCUUAAUAAAAUGUGGCAUAUCCAUUUGAUGGAAUAUUAUAUAGCAAUUAAAAUGAUAUUUCUUAAAACUA
rnacentral:lncRNA from 1 species